rnacentral:rRNA from 1 species
UACGGAGGGUGCAAGCGUUAUCCGGAUUCACUGGGUUUAAAGGGUGCGUAGGCGGGCAGGUAAGUCCGUGGUGAAAUCUCCGAGCUUAACUCGGAAACUGCCAUGGAUACUAUUUGUCUUGAAUAUUGUGGAGGUGAGCGGAAUAUGUCAUGUAGCGGUGAAAUGCUUAGAUAUGACAUAGAACACCAAUUGCGAAGGCAGCUCACUACACAAUUAUUGACGCUGAGGCACGAAAGCGUGGGGAUCAAACAGG